rnacentral:rRNA from 1 species
GUGUCAGCCGCCGCGGUAAUACCAGCUCUCCGAGUGGUGGGGACGUUUAUUGGGCCUGAAGCAUCCGUAGCCAGCUGAGCAAGUCCCCAGUUAAAUCCAGCGAUUUAAUCGUUGGACUGCUGGGGAUACUGUCCGGCUUGGGGGUGGGAGAGGCCGACGGUAUUCCCGGGGUAGGGGUGAAAUCCUAUAAUCCCGGGAGGACCACCAGUGGCGAAGGCUGUUGGCUAAAACAUGCCCGACGGUGAGGGAUGAAAGCUGGGGGAGCGAACCGGAUUAGAUACCCGGGUAGUCCCAGCUGUAAACGAUGCAGGCUAGGUGUUAGGGCGGCCACGUGCCGCUCUAGUGCCGCAGGGAAGCUGUUAAGCCUGCCGCCUGGGGAGUACGGCCGCAAGGCUGAAACUUAAAUGAAUUGACGGGG